AAAAAAGACUCCUUCCAAAACAGCUACGCCAGUUGGAAUGAAGUACUGGAGAAGUAGAGAGAGGUGGGCCGAGAGUUAGAGAAGAGAUGAGGAAAAAAGCUGAUUGCCCUCCAGGAAACGCAUGGUGUGACUACAGCAGAGACCUCCAGAUUCCUCCUGGGGCAGAGGACGUGCGUUGCUAGGAGAUGGUUGUUGGGCUGGUGUUGCCAUGCGUGGAUGCUGUUGCCUGCCAUGCUCCGAUGUGCAGGAGGGCAAGGAUUCAAUACUCUUUCAGGGAGCAUGUGUGAAAGGACCUUAAGAGCCAUGGAAAAAGAAGGGAAAAAAAACUGUGCUCCAUCAUCAUCACCAUCAUCAUCAUCAUCAUCAGGGACUAGUAAUGACUUCCCCUAUCUCUAGGGGGCACCCUUAGCACCUGAGUCACAGGACCAACAGAGCCAGCUUUUUCCCCCCUUGAAACUGUGACCAAUCCAACAUUUGUGGCUGCCAAGAAUAGAUGUCACAGGCACAUGAUCAUUGUAACUGCCUCGGAGGUGGUCAGUCCGCCCUUCUUAGAGCCGGUUCCUGAGGGGGAUAGAGGACGAGGCGUCGACGUGCAAAGGAAGCAUUCAAGUCUCAUGGAAACUGGCUAAUGGCUUUGGGCUUGGUUGCUAGAGAGUUGGAAGAUUGAGGCAUGACAGAGAGGAAAGCUAGCAAGCACAGGGUGCUUGGGGACUUGUGUUGGUGUGCAGAGGAAGGCUGUAGCCAGCGCUCUGAGGAGCUCAACUUGGUUCUGCUCUGGUUCUGGUGCUGGCUGACCAGCAGGCCCCCGCGGCUCAGGCCCAACUCCAGGACGGGCAGUAGUGGAACGGACAAAGGACUUCAUUCUCUGUGGGGGGAGGAAAGGGAGGGGGAGAAGUGGGGUGGUGGUGAAGGGGGGAGUUAGGGAGAUGAGGAAAGCUGGAGAGGGAAGGGGGUGGGGGGUGCUGGUGAGCCCAGCGCAAGGGGUCUUAUCCUCCCGGCUCAAACACAUGCCACCAGCUGCUGCCCCCUUCCUGUGCUUUCAUUAAAAAGCCUCCCUGUGCUCCGCUGGGUAAUCCACAUGCUUUACUGAAAAAGUGUGAGGUAAAUACAGUAUGUCUGUCCAUU